AGCCACUGACGAUAUCCUCAACAAUUUUUCUGACACCUCAUAUGAGAGCUACGCUCCUGAUUCUAAUGCUGUUCUGAGGCUC